UCUUUCAAGGUCUUACAUGAUUCCAGGAGGGUCCUGCUCCUCCCCCUCCGGGCUCAGCCCAGGAGUAGAAUGGGGAUGUCUCCGGGAACCAGUGAUGUUUGGUGAUAAGCUCAAUUAGCGACACCCAUCUCUCCCAGGCCUUGGUGUACUCACCUACAAAAUGGUGCCAUGACAGCUGACCUCGGGUUGUAAGCAUUAAGGGAUCUACCAGUUGUGGUAAGAUACACGUAAAAUUUACCAUCCAGCAAUUGUUUUAUGUGGAGUUCAGCAGCGUUAAGUAUAUUCACGGUGUUGUGCAACCAAUCUCCAGAACUCUUUGCAUCUUGGAAAACUGAAACUCUACUAUUCCACACCAACUACCCAUGUGCUGCUUCCCAAGCCCUAGCAACUAGCAUUUUACCGCUUCUGUGAAUUUCACUACUCAGGAUACCUCGUUUAAGUGGCAUCGUAGAGUUCUUGCCUUUUUUGCAACUGGCGUAUUUCACUCAACAAAACCUCCCAGUGUUUGUCCAUGUUGCAGUAUGUGUUAGAAUUUCAUUCCUUUUUAAGGCUGGCAUUAAACACUCUUCAUGUUUAAUUAAACAUCCACUUGAAACUUU